CUGAUGAAGAGUCCCAACAUAGGACGAAACAGCUGUCUGGAAG
rnacentral:hammerhead_ribozyme from 1 species